UACGAGGGGAGCUAGCGUUAUUCGGAAUUACUGGGCGUAAAGCGCACGUAGGCGGCUUUGUAAGUAAGAGGUGAAAGCCUGGAGCUCAACUCCAGAACUGCCUUUUAGACUGCAUCGCUUGAAUCCAGGAGAGGUGAGUGGAAUUCCGAGUGUAGAGGUGAAAUUCGUAGAUAUUCGGAAGAACACCAGUGGCGAAGGCGGCUCACUGGACUGGUAUUGACGCUGAGGUGCGAAAGCGUGGGGAGCAAACAGG
rnacentral:rRNA from 2 species